UUCCGGUUGAUCCUGCCAGACCUGACUGCUAUCGGAUUGAUACUAAGCCAUGCGAGUCAUUGUAGCAAUACAAGGCAUACGGCUCAGUAACGCGUAGUCAACCUAACCUAUGGACGGGAAUAACCUCGGGAAACUGAGAAUAAUGCCCGAUAGAACAUUAUACCUGGAAUGGUUUAUGUUCCAAAUGAUUUAUCGCCGUAGGAUGGGACUGCGGCCUAUCAGUUUGUUGGUGAGGUAAUGGCCCACCAAGACUAUUACAGGUACGGGCUCUGAGAGGAGUAGCCCGGAGAUGGGUACUGAGACACGGACCCAGGCCCUAUGGGGCGCAGCAGGCGAGAAAACUUUGCAAUGUGCGAAAGCACGACAAGGUUAAUCCGAGUGAUUUCUGCUAAAGAAAUCUUUUGUUAGUCCUAGAAACACUAACGAAUAAGGGGUGGGCAAGUUCUGGUGUCAGCCGCCGCGGUAAAACCAGCACCUCAAGUGGUCAGGAUGAUUAUUGGGCCUAAAGCAUCCGUAGCCGGCUCUGUAAGUUUUCGGUUAAAUCUGUACGCUCAACGUACAGGCUGCCGGGAAUACUGCAUAGCUAGGGAGUGGGAGAAGUAGACGGUACUCGGUAGGAAGUGGUAAAAUGCUUUGAUCUAUCGAUGACCACCUGUGGCGAAGGCGGUCUACUAGAACACGUCCGACGGUGAGGGAUGAAAGCUGGGGGAGCAAACCGGAUUAGGUACCCGGGUAGUCCCAGCUGUAAACUAUGCAAACUCAGUGAUGCAUUGGCUUGUGGCCAAUGCAGUGCUGCAGGGAAGCCGUUAAGUUUGCCGCCUGGGAAGUACGUACGCAAGUAUGAAACUUAAAGGAAUUGGCGGGGGAGCACCACAAGGGGUGAAGCCUGCGGUUCAAUUGGAUUCAACGCCGGG
rnacentral:rRNA from 1 species